CAUGAAGCCGGAAUCGCUAGUAAUCGCGGAUCAGAAUGCCGCGGUGAAUACGUUCCCGGGUCUUGUACACACCGCCCGUCACACCAUGGGAGUCGGAAAUGCCCGAAGUCUGUGACCCAACCUUAGGGAGGGAGCAGCCGAAGGCAGGUCGGAUGACUGGGGUGAAGUCGUAACAAGGUAUC
rnacentral:rRNA from 1 species